GCAAACUUGGUCAUUUAGAGGAAGUAAAAGUCGUAACAAGGUUUCCGUAGGUGAACCUGCGGAAGGAUCAUUAUCGAUAUGAUAACAAUCAUUAUAAACCAUGUGUGCAGUUAUUGAGAAAUUGAAAGAAGGGGAAUUUUCCUCCUUUUUUUUUUUUUUUUCUUUUCUUUUUCAUUUUCACACAUUAUUUUUGCCGUUAUAAUAUUUUAAAUAAAACAAAAAAAAACUUUCAACAACGGAUCUCUUGGCUCUCGCAUCGAUGAAGAACGCAGC
rnacentral:misc_RNA from 1 species